UACGGGGGGGGCAAGCGUUGUUCGGAAUUACUGGGCGUAAAGGGCUCGUAGGCGGCCAACUAAGUCGGAUGUGAAAUCCCCAGGCUCAACCUGGGAACUGCAUCCGAUACUGGAUGGCUUGAAUCCGGGAGAGGGAUGCAGAAUUCCAGGUGUAGCGGUGAAAUGCGUAGAUAUCAAGAGGAACACCUGAGGUGAAGACGGGUUGCUGGGCUGACACUGACGCUGAGGCGCGAAAGCCAGGGGAGCAAACGGG
rnacentral:rRNA from 1 species